UAAGAGGUAGCACCUCUGCAAGUCAUAAUUGUUUCUGACUAAAGCUAGGUGAUGAUUUUGAUCCAAGGAGGCCAGUUUCGCGUUCAUCUCAUACCAAAAUUCAGGUGUAACCAGAAGGGAAAAUGAGCCAGCAUCUUGCAAGCUUAAAACCAGGAGAUGUAGUACCCAUUGAAUAACUGAGAUAUGUUUCCAAAAUGAAGAAGCAUAUUGGCAUGAUUGCAGGUGGUUCUGGUAGUACUCCAAUGCUUCAGGUCAUUGACGCUACACUAAAAAAUCUUGAUGACACAACCAAGGGCCAGCGAUAAGUGUCAGAAGGAGAAAAGUUCAUAUAUAAAUUGUUGGACAUAAACGGCGAUGGUGUUUUGGGGAGGUUACUGGGAUAUAUCGGGCUUUGAGCGUAAGAGUUGGACCAACACAG